rnacentral:rRNA from 1 species
ACGAACGCUGGCGGCAUGCCUAACACAUGCAAGUCGAACGAGACCUUCGGGUCUAGUGGCGCACGGGUGCGUAACGCGUGGGAACCUGCCCUUAGGUUCGGAAUAACUCCCCGAAAGGGGUGCUAAUAUCGGAUAAUGUCUUCGGACCAAAGAUUUAUCGCCUUUGGAUGGGCCCGCGUUGGAUUAGCUAGUUGGUAGGGUAAAAGCCUACCAAGGCGACGAUCCAUAGCUGGUCUGAGAGGAUGAUCAGCCACACUGGGACUGAGACACGGCCCAGACUCCUACGGGAGGCAGCAGUGGGGAAUAUUGGACAAUGGGCGAAAGCCUGAUCCAGCAAUGCCGCGUGAGUGAUGAAGGCCUUAGGGUUGUAAAGCUCUUUUACCCGGGAUGAUAAUGACAGUACCGGGAGAAUAAGCUCCGGCUAACUCCGUG